UAGGCAUAAUAGUGAGAUGGUCCAGUCCUACAGUACAUCAUCAUGAAGAAAUCACUUGUACAGCUCUCCCUAGUAAUGGUUUUAAAUGUACAAUUACAGACUGUAGCCCAUCUGUGACUACACACUAUUUGUCACUCAGUCUUCUCUGUCCCGUCCAUUAAUGGAAUGGAUGGUUGUCCAUCUUCAGCACAGUAGUGACACCAAAAUGAUGAUGGGAGGUUAAUGAUUAAUGUGUUGGUACAUAGCAGAAUUGCUGACACCACGACAGUACUCCAACCAAAACUAUCCAGCCAACAGUGGUGGUUGUGUGGUUAGUAGCUAACAGAGACGAAUUAACACAAAAUUAUUCAUCUUCAGUAAGCGUGUUAUCUAGGUCAGGGUCAUGGUGGGCCCCUAGCUUAUUCCAAGAACACCAGGAGCAAGGCGGGAAUACACCAUGUGUGGGACGCCAGUCCAUCACAAGGCACCAUGUACACAUAUUUACACACUCAUCCAGACCAAGAGGCAAUUUAGUGUAGCCUGGCAUGAUUUUGGGAGGUGGGAGGAAACAGAAGAACCCAAACCUAACUUGGACACAGACAGAACUUGUGAAAUGGCACACAGACAUUAACCCAAGCUCAGAAACAAACCAAGGACCCAGGAGCUGUGAGGCAGCAAUGUCACCAUGCUUGCAUUAAAGAAGGCUAUAGUCUCUAUCUGUACAAUGACAAGGUGGUCUAACAAGGGAUGUGUGUCUAUUAAAGUGACCAGAUAGUACACACAAUGUUCAGUGUACAAAAUCCCCAGCAGCACAGUUGUGUCAGUAUCACUUGUUAGAUCACACGUUGCUCACUCUGGACAAUCCCUGGAAACUUUCCAGCAACAGAGCGCUUUAUAGACGAUGGAGUUUAUACGCAGCACUACGCUGGCUGUAAGACAGCCAGAGAGCAUUGCGUCAGGCUCACCAUUGCUUUAUCUCUCUCGAAUGCUCCCAGGCAAGAGGUUAUACUGGGUACAAGUCAAGUGUGAAGUAGGCAGGCUGGGAGAUUGUGUUAAGAUGUUGCUUUGUCUCAGAUGGUGAGGGACCAAAAUGGUGAAUUGUAGCAAUCAACAACUGUGAGGUUACACUAGUCAGAUCACCUUCUGGCUUUUAAACAUAAAAAAAACAACAGUAAGAUAAAAUCAUAAUCUAACACCAGAAAAUAAUCUGAACCAGAAAAUAAAAUUUGGUCAGUGGUGGUACUUUUUCAGAGGCGGGCUGAUAAGUAGUGAAUAGUACCACAUGAGCUACAGUCAGUAACUGUAUACCUAUAAAGUGGCAUACAUGGAAAACACACAGUGAGUGCAUGUACAAGGCAGGAUUACUUCAUAUCAAACUCAGUGUAGAUGAAAUAGGUUCAAGAUGAAGGUGGACAGGAAAUCGCCACAUCCUGAGCGCACGCGCACACACGUCCCUGCGCAGAUUCCCUGAACAUACAAGAGCAUGUGUGCAGUUAUAAAGGAUGUCUAAGGCUUGCGGGAAGAAAUGCAGAACCCCUCUUGCAAGAAAAACUUCACUUAAAAGUUAUGGUAUGGCAUAACUAAUGUGAUGAACAAGCAUUCAAGAAAUACAACUCU